rnacentral:rRNA from 1 species
UACGUAGGGUGCGAGCGUUGUCCGGAAUUAUUGGGCGUAAAGGGCUCGUAGGCGGUUUGUCGCGUUCAGGAGUGAAAACUCGGGGCUUAACCCCGAGCCUGCUUCUGAUACGGGCAGACUAGAGGUAUGCAGGGGAGAACGGAAUUCCUGGUGUAGCGGUGAAAUGCGCAGAUAUCAGGAGGAACACCGGUGGCGAAGGCGGUUCUCUGGGCAUUACCUGACGCUGAGGAGCGAAAGUGUGGGGAGCGAACAGG